ensembl:lncRNA
GUAAUCAGUAUGAAUUUCAUGAUUGUUUGUAUUUUACCGCCUAAUUGGAGAAGUGAUGACACACAGUCCUUUCACGUAUUUGUUAAUUACUUAACAAAGCCAUUUUUACAGAUCUACCUGCCACUGAGGAAGCAUUGAAGAUCUGUGUUGGGACACACACAGCGAUCACACUACGUGAUCUGUGUCCGAGUCCAGCUGUAUUGCAGCAUGCAGCAAUCAUACUAGUUGAACAAAUUGCACUCUUAGGGCGAACACGCUUGGGCAUCAUAGCCUGAGGGUGUGACAUUACGCUGUGAUGGCUAGGCAGACACUUAAAAACCAUGAGAUAACAUCAUACACACCACAAAUCAUGUUUUCCUGCCCAUAUAUAACACAAGCAGGCUAAGUUACUAAAUAGCUACACCCUAGAGGAAGGUUUCCAAAAGGUCUGACCUAAAUCUAAGCAAAUAUGGACAAAAGUAAAACACAUUAAAAUAAAUAAAUACAUUAAAAAAAUGUGCAUCAAUUUGUGAUGUAUAGCACAAUAUGUUAGUUAGUUUCCCAUGCAUGAAUGAAUCCCACCAGGGCAUCCCUGUAAGGGCUUUCCUCAAAAUUUCCUCCAAAAAUUAAAAAAAAAAAAGGGAAGAUGAACAUACACACUAUAGUAAAGAGAGAGAGAGGUGGAGAUGGAAGGAGGCAAAAUUGUCAAGAAUAUGACUCAUGUAAUCUUGCUCCUCCAGACACACACAAUCCACAUACUCUUGAGAGCACAUUUUAUGUUGCACAUGGUCAGAGUUUUUCCUCAGCUUGCGUUGCACUCGCUCUCCUCUCCUGGUCUGCUUUUCCCUCCUUCUCACUCUCAAUCUGUGGGUUUCAAGUGCAAAUGAAUCCACACAGGAUUAUGCAUAAGUACUUUGAAGUGUCAAAUGAUGGCCUCCUGUGGCUCAGUGCAGGAAACAUGCAAACUGACAGACACAAGUAACAUGCAAUCUCACACCCAUGUGUGUGCCUGUACAUGCAUGUACUUUUGUACAUGGAAUGGUCACUUCAUAUCCAC